GGGAUCUUAACCCACUGAGCCACAACAGGAACUGCAAGUAGGAUCUUUUUAAUGCUCUCCCUCCCUUGCUGGGACUUGAACAUUAGAUCAAAUACUCGGAGGAGGACUGAGGACGUCCCACUUUUCACGUUAAGUAUGCGGAAGUGGGGGAUACGGGGGUGUAACACCUUCCCCAAGAACAGGUGGUGGGGUGUGGUCCUGGGACGGACAGUCCUGCCAGUUUGGGCACAAACCCACACUCUGCUUGUCCCAGAGGCGGAGAAAGAGGCUCCUCCCUCAGGGGGCUCACCUGGAGGGGAGCUCAGCCUCACCUGAGCAUUGGAGCAUCUGCUGGAAGCGCGGCCCUGCCUCUGUCUCCUGAGCGGGAAGCCGGGAGAGGAGGGGACAAGCUCUUCCCCUUUGUGUGAGGCGCUGAGUGUGGAAACCCCAAGUUGGGCCCCCGGGCAGCACAUCCUCUUCUCUUGUGUCAUCAGGCAGGCUCUGUCCUUCCCCCAUAAUCUCUCCAGGACGGGCACCGGCUGCAGGGGCUGGGCCAUGGCCCCCCAUCCCACCACCCUCCUGUGCUUCGCGCUCUGUCUGGGCCAGACGAUCCGCACGUGCCGAGGUGAGUCUUCUCCCUGCCCCCCAAAGGCUGAGCCCGACGACAGCGUGUGCCCACCCUGGGGGCGGGGGGGCACCUGGCAGCUGACAUAGUACCGGAAUUGCCAGCAACCCCCAGGCCUAAGCCGCCCCGUCUCUCCCUCGCUGUCCACGCUGCUCUCAGGGCCCCGCAGAGACGGUUCAGAUCCCGCAGGACCAGGCUGAGCCCGCGAGCCCAGAUCUCCCUCUGCAUCCCCUGCGCGGAGGGCGCGACCUCACCCAGGGCAGAACCCGACCGACCGGGAGUCCUCCCGGGUCCCGCUUCUCCAGCCCCCCACUCACAGCGCAUCACCCGGUGCUGGGUUUUGCAUGAUAAUUCUUAGGGUCGAAUGACUGCGUUCAGCGGUUUCUGUUUUCAGGAAAAUGUCCAUUUUGCUGAGCGCCCUCUCACAGCUGACCUUGGAUAGACUGAGCCGCGUGCGCCCCUCUUGGGUCCGGGUCUGCCCGUCCCCAGCCCCGCUGGCUCAGAGGUCUCCUCGCUUUUCUUUCUCUCUCGCGUGGCUCCUUCCCCCUCAUCUCUGGACCUGGACCCGGUGUUUGUGCCCUGCCUGCCCCACGUGCCCACCCCCAGCCUGGGUGAUUCCUGCUGGACCUCAGCUCUCAGCUGGGGACCCGCGCCCUCCGACCUCCCCGGGGAGGCAGCUCUGCCUCCCGUCUGCCCCUGGGGUUCCCACACGCGCCCGAGGGCACAGGCCACAGUCUGGACACGGGGAUUUGCACAAUGAUUCAUCAACGUCCGUCCUCCCUCGAGACUUUCAGCCCCGCGAAGAAGGCAGGGAUCGCGUGUGUGUCUCACGGUUGUGGAACCAGGGGUACACGGAAGUAUCUGUAAAGGGGCAGAGGGGACCUAAGACGGGGUGGAAGGACACAAAGAGCCAGUGGAGGAGUGAGUGAGCCCUGCCAGCGCCCUGCCUCUAGGGGCGUCUUGCUGAAGGGGAGACCAGCUUCCCCUUUCAGGGCAGCAAGCCCUCUCCCCUGCCC
rnacentral:lncRNA from 1 species